UACAGAGGUCUCAAGCGUUGUUCGGAUUCAUUGGGCGUAAAGGGUGCGUAGGCGGCGCGGUAAGUCGGGUGUGAAAUCUCGGAGCUUAACUCCGAAACUGCAUUCGAUACUCCCGUGCUUGAGGACUGGAGAGGAGACUGGAAUUUACGGUGUAGCGGUGAAAUGCGUAGAUAUCGUAAGGAAGACCAGUGGCGAAGGCGGGUCUCUGGACAGUUCCUGACGCUGAGGCACGAAGGUCAGGGGAGCAAACGGG
rnacentral:rRNA from 1 species